GACAGAGGUCCCGAGCGUUAGGCGGAAUCACUGGGCUUAAGGCGUGUGUAGGCGGAUUUGUAAGUACCUUGUGAAAUCCCACGGCUUAACCGUGGAACUGCUUGGUAUACUGCGAAUCUUGGGCCAUCUAGGGGCGAGUGGAACAAACGGUGGAGCGGUGAAAUGCGUAGAUAUCGUUUGGAACGCCAAUGGUGAAAACAACUCGCUGGGGAUGUGCCGACGCUGAGACACGAAAGCCAGGGGAGCGAACGGG
rnacentral:rRNA from 1 species